ensembl:lncRNA
AUUUUGCUUCUCUUUGAGAUGAGAAACCAUCUGUGGGUGCCCAUUUCCUGCAGGGCUCAUCCAACUUUAGCAAAACACCUGCACCCGCCAGGGAAGGUGGCCCUGGCAGGCAGCAGAUGCUCCACAGCUGAAGCCUUUCAAAGGAGACACCUUUAGAGCUCCUGCCCUUAUGGGAUAACUGAAUCAUCCAUAAAUAGUCUUUAAAGGCAGCAUUGUCUGCCUGAAAAAAACCCCCAAAAAAACCUAAAGGAAAAUGAAGUAGGGGUUUUGUGUGUGGGUAAAGUAAAUACGGUUGGAAAUACAUGACUUGUUAAAAGCUUUUUGAGGACCCCACACUCACGAAAUCUUUUAGGUCAUGUGUUUGCUUUCUGAAACAUUUGGUAAGUAAUAAGUGCCAAGGGACUAUAUGCACUCCAUCUGGAAUUAGCAGAUUCCUCUUUGUUCAAUUGUUCCUAAAUUUGGAACCAGCCGACUUGCUUAAAAGUAUUUUGAUUUGCUUUUAAAUAAAUAUGGGAGAUAAACAUAGCCCAGGACCAGGAAAGGUACGUUAUUAGUCCUCUCCCUCUCUCCACACUACUCUUAAAGGGCCAAUUCUGAUGUUUGCUGCUGGUUUAUGGUAACAAUUUGUUUGGAGUGGUCCAUCAUUUCUCUUCCCCUUUUUAUAAAUAGUAUCAAAGAAAUCAGAGCUGGAGAAAGAACUAUUAGAUCACUGAAUCCACUCUGCUGCCAACAGAGUCCUGUUCCUUACAGAGUAUUUUUUCCAUUUCUUUCUCCAGGUUAAACUUGGAAUUGAGUUUAGAGCCUGCAGGUCUAAGGAGAGGUACAAGACUUUCCUAGGACUGCAUGCAGCGCAGUGCAAGAUACAGAUUUCCCCAUCUCUACAAGGCCUUUUUAUUUGGUCUAGAUACACAUCUGUAAGUAUUUUACCCUCUCAUAUAUUCAUAUAUACUGUAAGUCAAAGGAGCUUAAGUUUUCACUUCUUGCAUUGCAUUGCAAUCACUCUGUUUCAUGGGGUGCUUCCGAUGUGUUACAUCUCAGCAGCCUCAGGCCUUCUCUGAGUCACUGUUCUGACCUUCCCAGCAAGCAGGAACUGAAACUACAGCGAAAGAUUCGUGUGGGAUACUCAAAACCUAACCAUAAUCUCUUCUACCUCUUUUCCUGUUCCAGUCAAUCCUUGUUUUGAGGAUCAAAUCUGUAUUUCCUGCGUGCUUGAGGAAAGUCUGUCAGCGUGAUGAGGCAUCAGCAUCACUCAGCAGGACCUGUUGAGGAGCCAGUGAUGGCUUGGCCCAUCACAGCACUGAUUUAUCCUUUUUUGAUCUAAUCCUGUGAGUAUGAGCUCAGGAGCUGUGCCAAAACUUUGUGGAGACUCUGUUGUGUGCAUACACCUUAGGUUAGGGCACUGUUAGGGUAAUGGUUGGACUUGAUGAGCUCAGAUGUUGCUUCUAACUUUAAUGAUUUUGUGAUUGCAGAGCUCCAAUUCUUAAAGAAAAUGAGCUCUCAGCUUUAAGGAUAGUUGCUGGCUGCAGUUAAUGUAUUUAAUUAUAUAUAUGUAUAUAAUAUAUAUAUGUGUUUAUGUUAGGAAAUAUUUAGUAGAAUCUGGCAAUUUGAAAAGAGAAAGAUUUAAAAUCAGGGCCUGAAGGGGCUCCAGGAGAGCUGGAGAGGGACUGGGGACAAGGAAUGGAGGGACAGGACCCAGGGAAUGGCUCCCAGUGCCAGAGGGCAGGGAUGGAUGGGAUAUUGGGAAUAAAUCC